rnacentral:rRNA from 1 species
AUACGUAGGGGGCGAGCGUUAUCCGGAAUUAUUGGGCGUAAAGAGUACGUAGGCGGUUCUGUAAGCGUGAGGUGAAAGCCCGCGGCUUAACUCCGGUAAGCCUUUCGAACUGCAGGACUUGAGUGCUGGAGGGGAAAGUGGAAUUCCUAGUGUAGCGGUGAAAUGCGUAGAUAUUAGGAGGAACACCAGUGGCGAAGGCGACUUUCUGGACAGUAACUGACGCUGAGGUACGAAAGCGUGGGGAGCAAACAGGAUUAGAUACCCUGGUAGUCCACGCUGUAAACGAUGAGCACUAGGUGUCGGGCUAGCAAUAGUUCGGUGCCGCAGUUAACGCAAUAAGUGCUCCGCCUGGGGAGUACGCACGCAAGUGUGAAACUCAAAGGAAUUGGCGGGG